rnacentral:rRNA from 1 species
UACAGAGGGUGCGAGCGUUAAUCGGAAUUACUGGGCGUAAAGCGCGCGUAGGCGGCUUUGCAAGUCGGGUGUGAAAUCCCCAAGGCUUAACCUGGGAACUGCAUUCGAGACUGCAUUGCUAGAGUAUGGGAGAGGGAAGUGGAAUUUCCGGUGUAAGCGGUGAAAUGCGUAGAUAUCGGAAGGAACAUCAGUGGCGAAAGCGACUUCCUGGACCAAUACUGACGCUCAUGUGCGAAAGCGUGGGGAGCAAACAGG